rnacentral:pre_miRNA from 1 species
GGGGGGGGGGAGGGGUCCCUCAGCCAGGAUUGCGAGAGGGGGCAGACCAGGCUGAGGGACUCCACCAGUGCACA